CCUACGGGAGGCAGCAGUGGGGAAUAUUGCACAAUGGGCGCAAGCCUGAUGCAGCCAUGCCGCGGGUGUGAAGAAGGCCUUCGGGUUGUAAAGCACUUUCAGCGGGGAGGAAGGCGGUGAGGUUAAUAACCUCAUCGAUUGACGUUACCCGCAGAAGAAGCACCGGCUAACUCCGUGCCGGCAGCCGCGGUAAUACGGAGGGUGCAAGCGUUAAUCGGAAUUACUGGGCGUAAAGCGCACGCAGGCGGUCUGUCAAGUCGGAUGUGAAAUCCCCGGGCUCAACCUGGGAACUGCAUUCGAAACUGGCAGGCUAGAGUCUUGUAGAGGGGGGUAGAAUUCCAGGUGUAGCGGUGAAAUGCGUAGAGAUCUGGAGGAAUACCGGUGGCGAAGGCGGCCCCCUGGACAAAGACUGACGCUCAGGUGCGAAAGCGUGGGGAGCAAACAGGAUUAGAUACCCCGGUAGUC
rnacentral:rRNA from 1 species